AGACAGGCCCUUGGGCCUGUAUCGUGGAGGAACAACACAGUUCUUCUAAUGUCUGUGCCAGGAUUGAGAGCUCAAGAGAAACAAGGUGUGGGCAGCCCCAUACACACAUAAUGCUUCCUAGACAUCACUCAGAGGAGGCACAGAAGAGUCCACUGCUCAGUAAGUGCCCAGCCAGCUCUGGUGACCUGGGUGUAAGAGGUCUCAGACCAACCAAAGAGCCAGCGCUGUCAUCCAGGGUGGUAACUCCCAGCUGGGGACUGGGCUGAUGAAGUCUGGCCUUGCCUCUCUGGGAUAUACACAGAGACAACACACACACAUGUACCCCACAAAAAAAAAAAAAAAAAAAAAAAAGCAAAAAAAAAACAAAAAAAACUUCAUGUCACUAUGAGACCAGUGUCUGCUGCCAACAUCCCAUCACGGAAGCAGGUGUGUGGAGGCAGCCAGUUGGAGAUAGGCUCAGAUAUUAGCCUUUGAGCUCCAGCGAUGUGAUCUCCAUCGAAGACUAUAUAAGGUGACGAGGCCAUCUUUGAAGACCCGGCUUGCCAAAGCUAAGCACCUUUGAGGAGGAUCCUGUCAGCACUGCCGCUGGCAGGGAGUGAGACCUCCUGCCUCCCGGACUCCUACCUUCUGACGGUCAUCCCAGAAGAGCAGACCCAUCCCCACUGAACCCCUUCCCACAUUCAACUCCUCCAAUGAAGGGCUAAGAAAAUUCAUCAAUCCCUUUCCUAAGCAGAGGGGUAGCAAGGAUUUUUAUUUUCUAUAGAGAAAGCAUUUAUUCUGAUGCAGAGCCGAAAGGGCCCAACCACCAGUUCUGUAGCAUCUAGGCGGCAGCGGCUGCAGGCUGCGGGCAGCACCCUAGAGUCCCAGGCCUGGGGGAGGGAGCCUUGUUUACAAGCCCUUUUGCCCACCUUUGUGGCGUUCUGCUUUCUAGGCAAAGAUGUCUGUCUGUGGUACUGUCCAGCCUUUAAAACACACCCCGGGGAUGAGACUCUUUUUAAGAAAGGCAGUCUGUUUCUAGAGCUCUGGAAAGUGGUGGGGGCAGAAAAACAUCCCCGCCUAUUCACCACGUCGGAGGGAUCUGCGGAACAGCUUUUCUCCUUCCUAGGUUAGGCUGAAUAAGCAGCAAUGUAUCUUUUCUGUACUCAAAAUAAAUGCUCAUUAUCAAC
rnacentral:lncRNA from 1 species